CCCUUAGAUGUUCUGGGCUGCACGCGCGCUACAAUGCCACAAUCAUCGAGUUCCUAAACUGAAAAGAUAUGGUAAUCUUAUAAAAUUGUGUCGUGACGGGGAUAGAAUAUUGCAAUUAUUAUUCUUAAACGAGGAAUUCCUAGUAAGCGCGAGUCAUCAGCUUGCGUUGAUUACGUCCCUGCCCUUUGUACACACCGCCCGUCGCUCCUACCGAUUGAAUGGUCCGGUGAAGCGUUCGGACCGUGGCCUUUGGACGGUUCGCCGUCUGUUGGCUGCGGGAAGUUCGUUAAACCUUNUNAUUUAGNGGAAGGAGAANUCGUANCA
rnacentral:rRNA from 1 species